rnacentral:tRNA from 1 species
GCAUCCGUGGCGAAACUGGUAGACGCAGCGGCUUUAGGUGCCGCCGCCUAACGGCGUGUGGGUUCGAUUCCCUCCGGAUGCACCA